GAUGAACGCUGGCGGCGUGCCUAAUACAUGCAAGUCGAGCGAACAGACGAGGAGCUUGCUCCUCUGACGUUAGCGGCGGACGGGUGAGUAACACGUGGAUAACCUACUUAUAAGACUGGGAUAACUUCGGGAAACCGGAGCUAAUACCGGAUAAUAUAUUGAACCGCAUGGUUCAAUAGUGAAAGACGGUUUUGCUGUCACUUAUAGAUGGAUCCGCGCCGCAUUAGCUAGUUGGUAAGGUAACGGCUUACCAAGGCAACGAUGCGUAGCCGACCUGAGAGGGUGAUCGGCACCACUGGACCUGAGAACCGGCCAAGACUCCUACGGGAGGCAGCAGAAGGGAAUCUUCCGAAAUGGGCGAAAGCCUGACGGAGAACCGCCGCGUGAGUGAUGAAGGUCUUCGGAUCGAAAAACUCUGUUAUAAGGGAAAAACAAAUGUGUAAGUAAAUAUGCACGUCUUGACGGUACCUAAUCAGAAAGCCACGGCUAACUACGUG
rnacentral:rRNA from 1 species